AGAGUUUGAUCCUGGCUCAGGAUUGAAGUGGCGAACCGGGUGAGUAAUACGCGGGCAACCUGCCCCUCUGCUUCGGGAUAAGCUUUGGAAACGGGGUCUAAUACCGGAUGUGCCUGUCUGGUCGCAUGGCUGGGCGGGGAAAGAUGAUUUUCGGCGGGGCAUGGGCUCGCGGCCUAUCAGCUUGUUUGGUGGGCUGACGGCCUACCAAGGCGUCGACGGGUAGCCGGCCUGAGAUGGGUGGUCGGCCACACUGGGACUGAGAUACGGCCCAGACUCCUACGGGAGGCAGCAGUGGGGAUAUUGCACAAUGGGCGCAAGCCUGAUGCAGCGACGCCGCGUGGGGGAUGGAGGCUUUCGGGUUGUAAAGCCCUUUCGGCGCGGACAAGGCUCCGUUUGGCGGGGUUGAGGGUACGCGUCAAAGAAGCGCCGGCUAACUACGUGCCAGCAGCCGCGGUAAUACGUAGGGCGCGAGCGUUGUCCGGAAUUAUUGGGCGUAAAGGGCUCGUAGGCGGCAU
rnacentral:rRNA from 1 species